GCUGCACUGAACUCAGCCCUGAGGCCAGAUUGGAGCAGGGUGUGGCUUCAGGCAGUCUUCAGUCUCCAUCGAAGGUCUCCUUUCCUUCCAUCUUAAAUACCCUGCCCUCCCAACUUCCUCCUUAGACCUCUCAGCCCUGAAAAAGAUGCAUAAACUAACUACCCAUGGUGAUGAGAACUAACAUAAACAGCCUGGGAUGAGGCUGCCUCUCUCUACUUUCCCCAAAGGUCUCUAGCUAUGCCACAGGGUCUAUGGAAAUAUAGUUUAUACUAUGUGUGCCUCAGAGUUGAUUCACUUGCCAUUAAUAGCUCAGCUGUCCCUGAGGUUCUGGCCAGUGUUGAGCCUUCUUACUGGCAGAGAGGGUUUAUACAACUUCCUGCACAGCUAUUGAAUGGCUUCCCACAAGCCAAGGCUACCAGACAAAGCAUCCCACUGUGAUGCACCAGAGGGAGGGCAGGGCCGGAGUGAAGAAGCCACCAUCAAGCAAGAACCUUUGGACAAGGGAAUGAGGGCCCGUCCACCUGGCAGAUGGAUGGAGCUAAUUGUUGCAGCAGAAAGGAGUUCCCAGAUUGGAGAAACAGAGGAUAGGAGCAGAGCCACGUGCCAAAUACAUUCCAGCUCUGUCUGCUUCGCCAGAUUGGAAAUGGUCUGCUGGAAAAAAUUAUGGUGCUGUCUAACAUGAUGUAACAAGAUGUCAUCUUCUGACUCCAACGCAUAAAAUGGAUUUACAGGAAGGAGGAGGGGAAAAAAAAACAAAG
rnacentral:lncRNA from 12 species